UACAUAGGGCUCAAGCGUUGUUCGGAUUCAUUGGGCGUAAAGGGUGCGUAGGCGGCGCGGUAAGUCGGGUGUGAAAUCUCGGAGCUUAACUCCGAAACUGCAUUCGAUACUGCCGUGCUUGAGGACUGGAGAGGAGACCGGAAUUUACGGUGUAGCGGUGAAAUGCGUAGAUAUCGUAAGGAAGACCAGUGGCGAAGGCGGGUCUCUGGACAGUUCCUGACGCUGAGGCGCGAAGGUCAGGGGAGCAAACGGG
rnacentral:rRNA from 1 species